CUAAAGAUUGGGAUUCAAUUGCUAAGAAAGAGAAACUCGAGGGCAUUGAGCUUGCCUUGCGGAAACACGAAGAAACUGUGGAGUCCAUCAUGAGAAACAUGCUCUAUAUAAGUGUCAGGGAAUCAUAUAUGAGGAACUUGAGCGAAACAACAAACGAGAGAGUAUCACAGCUCAGCAUCGUGUCUAUGUUGGUGUGCGUUGUCGUUUCAGUUGUUCAAGUUUUGCAUCUCAAACGCUUUUUCCGCAAGAAGAAGCUCAUCUAAUA